UUCAAAGGUUCUGUAGAGAGAUGUUUGGCUAUUGCUGACAUAGAAAUGGUAUCAAUCAUGGUGAAAACAAGUUAAAAGUAAGAUUUUUAAAAUAUUUUGAAGUAAAUUAUUUUAUUUGUAAAAAGAAGUAUUAGCAUUAAAAUUGGGAAGCACCAAAUGCAAACACUUUGUGGAGAAAAAAUGAGAAACACCUGCCUCCUUCAUGCCCCACCGUUCCCAAGAACAUUUAAAUGGGGGAGGUAAGACUACACCGUAGCAUUUGAAAAAAAUAAAAUCAGCAAAUAAUGUCGGAGAUACAUGAAGUCUCCUUUGGCUUUUAGGGCAUCAAGAUUCAACUUCUCACCUAACUAGAAGUUAUCUUCCUACUACUCCACAUAUAGAAGAGAGGGUCGUUUAAUACAAACACAAAUACACAUGUGCACACACACACACACGCGCAAAUAGGCCCUUGUAGCUAAUUGUCCACGCAAAUGGAACCAGGAAAAUGUUCGAUGUGACUGACUUCAAGGAGUCAGCCUUCAGAGCAGCCGAGUCAGGAGUGGUUUAUCUAAUUUAAUGGACUUACACUGAGUUCUAUUCUACUUUAAUCCUAGAGAAAUAUUUCUUAAACAACACCUGCAUAAAAUGUAGAUUUCUAAACCUCCUCCUCAGAAACUCAGCUUAAGAAGGCCUGGAGUCAAGGCUUAGGAACCUGCAUGGUUAAUAAAUACCCCCAGGUGGUUCAGGAUCUCACAACGCCCAGGUCCCUGCAGAGCUGUCUUUCUGGCUCUCUCGAUUCCCCACUGCCCUUCCCAGUUCCAAGCUCCCAUUUGCAUUAGGCAUUUCCCUCUUCCCACAAUAUUCUACCUUCUCUGACAUAAGGACUCCAGGGAGUGCUCUGUGGGCCUUUCUCCCUCUUUCGCCAGCACUUGAACUUUAUCAUGCCAUUUAUUUCUGUCCUUCAUGGUUUAUGAUGAGAAAUAUGCUGUCAACCAAAUCUUUGUUUCCCUAGAGGUGGCUCCCGUUAAAUUAGAAGAAAAAAGAGAAAGAAAGGAAGGAAAGAAGGAAAGCUUGUUUGCCUGCUAUUCUCCUCAUCAUUUAAAUUAGAUGAAAUUCUUCAAGGAGCUGUCCCUUUAGAUGCCACAUUUUCUGUGUGGGCUAAUUUUAUUCUUUCCAAUAAUCACGUAUUCCAUGAUAUAUACAAAUCUG
rnacentral:lncRNA from 1 species